UCUUUUCAUUGUGUGCCAGCAGCCGCGGUAAUACGUAUGGUGCAAGCGUUAUCCGGAUUUACUGGGUGUAAAGGGAGCGUAGACGGCUGUGUAAGUCUGAAGUGAAAGCCCGGGGCUCAACCCCGGGACUGCUUUGGAAACUAUGCAGCUAGAGUGUCGGAGAGGUAAGUGGAAUUCCCAGUGUAGCGGUGAAAUGCGUAGAUAUUGGGAGGAACACCAGUGGCGAAGGCGGCUUACUGGACGAUGACUGACGUUGAGGCUCGAAAGCGUGGGGAGCAAACAGG
rnacentral:rRNA from 1 species